AUAUCAACAGCCACAAGUUGCGAGACAGCAGCGAUUGAGAAGAUAGCAAAGCUUCUGGAUUAUCAGACACCUUGUACAAUGAAUCCAACGACUCGCUAUUUUUCUUUGUUUUCCUUUUCUUUCUCCUCUUCUUCCUCUUCUUCUU
rnacentral:ribozyme from 15 species